rnacentral:rRNA from 1 species
UAGGGAAUCUUCAGCAAUGGACGAAAGUCUGACCGAGCAACGCCGCGUGUGUGAAGAAGGUUUUCGGAUCGUAAAACUCUGUUGUUAGAGAAGAACAAGGACGUUAUUAACUGAACGUCCCCUUACGGUACCUAACCAGAAAGCCACGGCUAACUACGUGCCAGCGGCCUCGGUAAUACGUAGGUGGCAAGGGUUGUCCGGAUUUAUUGGGCGUAAAGCGAGCGCAGGCGGUUUCUUAAGUCUGAUGUGAAAGCCCCCGGCUCAACCGGGGAGGGUCAUUUGAAACUGGGAGACUUGAGUGCAGAAGAGGAGAGUGGAAUUCCAUGUGUAGAGGUGAAAUGCGUAGAUAUAUGGAGGAACACCAGUGGCGAAGGCGGCUCACUGGUCUGUAACUGACGCUGAGGCUCGAAAGCGUGGGGAGCAAACAGG